AGAAGAUUUCCACUGUCCCAGAACAGGAAGUGGUCCCAUUCACCAGUCUGACUGAGAAUUCAGCUGUAAACAGCAGAGAGGGAAACACAGUGAUUUAUACUCUACCUACCUGGUAGACUGUCACUUUGAGCCUGGAGAUCUGAGGAGAAAGAGAAAGGCAGAGGAGAAAAAGAGAGAAAGAGACAGAGAGACAGAGAGAAACAAAGGAGAAAGGGAGGAGUAAGAGGAAGACAGAGGCAGAGGUGAAAUGAACAUCAACAUGACCUUUCAUGAUGUGAUGGGGAAGACAGGCUUAUCGUUGUGUCAAGCUGAGCCGGACCAAGAGUGGAAGAGUGGAAAAGGUUACUGGUUAUGAUGACAUCACUGGUGAGAAGUCAAUAAUGAAAAUAUAUUCAGUUGACUGCAUGUUAGUCUGUCAGACCUAUCUCUGUUGACAUCUCCCUCUCUCUCCUCCUCUGUCCCAUAGCCACAGGAAGAGGUUUUGGGGGUGUGGAAAUACAGCUAAUCCUGGGUAUGGCUGA